rnacentral:lncRNA from 1 species
AUUUCGACAUUAAGCCUCACAACAUCCUGCUAGAUCAUAAUUUCAUCCCAAAGGUCUCAGAUUUCGGCCUUGCAAAGUUUCAUCCCAAGGAAAAUGAUUUUGUGUCCAUCAGUGCCACAAGAGGAACCAUAGGAUACAUAGCACCUGAGCUGAUUUCAAGGAAUUUUGGAACUGUUUCUUGCAAGUCAGAUGUUUACGGUUUUGGGAUGGUGUUGUUGGAAAUGGCUGGAGGAAGAAGGAAUUCUAAUAUGAAUGCAACUCGUUCAAGCAAAGCAUAUUUCCCAUCUUGGGUAUAUGACCAAUUAAAUAAGGGAGGUGAUUUAGAGCUUCAGAAUAUUACUGAAAUUGAAUCCAUGAUAGCAAGGAAACUGUGUAUGAUUGGUUUGUGGUGUAUUCAGGUGAAGGCAGCAGAUCGCCCCUCUAUGACAAAAGUUUUAGAGAUGUUAGAAGGGAGUAUUGACGAUUUGCAAAUGCCUCCUAGACCUUUCUUCUCUUCUUCUCGACAUAUCUCCGGAACUGGAAGAGAGAUUGAAUCAGAUUCUUCAGCAGAGUUGUUAGUGUCUGAAUCAAUAGAGGAAUGUUCUUUCAAUGAUAGUUUUGUUUAAUUUUUGCCAAGGAUGAAUGUAAAAUAAAUAAAUAAUUAAUAGAUUGCAAUGACAAAGGUUCUCUAUCUUCUUGUUGCUUUAUCUCGCAUUGAAACUUAAUGCAUAUAUUUGUGAGUGCAAGCUAGUUUAGUAGUUGAAAUCUCCUACUCAUAUAGGUGGCAAUAUGAUUUAAUUAGACGUGCGCUAUGCUUUAAAAAGAAAAUAAAAGUCUCUCGCAUUGAUUACAAACACUGGAUAGGAGUUGGAAAUUUUAUUCUGUAUUUUUAUCACACAUUGAAAAUUGAUCACAAAAAAACCAAGUAUACACCUUCGUUCAGCCUAUUCUUAUAAUUGUUGUCCACAAAUGUCAUGGAGGACUAGUCUCUUGUGGGCUGCCAUUGACUUAAAUAAAAUGCAUUUUAUCCAUUCAAAUUCCAAAAAUGAGUGUCAUUUGCUCUUUCACAUUAAGAAAUAUAUCCUCAACCAAGAAGGAAGAGUGAUUAAUAUUAGACGAAAAAGCAUCCCUAUUUCUCAUUUUCUCCAUGUCACCUGUGCUUAGUUUAAUUCUCUUCCUUCUCUUUCCUUACACAGAAGCCAAAACUUCAGAAGGAAACAAUGAUACAAAUAUUUAUAAAUUUUGUCAGCCAACAACAUGCAGCACGAAGGGACCAAAUAUCAGAUUUCCCUUUAGACUCAAAACUCAACCUAUCUCUUGCGGUCUUGAAGGGUUUGAAUUAUCAUGCUUAAACACCAAGACAGUGUUGCACCUUCCUUCCUCUGGCGAUUAUUAUGUGCAGGACAUUUCUUAUCUUCACAGCAGAAUUACCAUUAUGGAUGUACAUGAGUCCACAUGCCCUUUAAAAACCAGCCGAGCGGCUUUGUCAAAUUAUAGAUUGACGUAAAAGGGGAGAACUUAAAUUAAAUAUUUGAAUCUUAUUCUGAUUUUUUAAAAAUAAUUUAUAAGAGUUCAUAAAAAAAAGUUGUAAAUGUGUAAUUUAGAUAAAUAUGAAUACCCAAAUAAAAUUGGGCAAACUUUUAUUUUUCAUGAUGCUUUUUUUUUCCUUUAAAACCAAAAUAAAUUUAGGAUUCAUUUAUGUUUUAAUCACAUGCUUGUUUCAAAAUUUUACUUUCUUACAACGUUUUAUGAUUUUUUAAAAAAAAUGUGCUCGCAUAUUUGUUAAAUUUAAGAAUUAAAGUCCAUGAUAUUAUAUUCAUCUUUAAGUUUCUCGAACAGCUACUUCGGAAGUGAAUCAGACUAGAAGGAAAAAAAAUGAACCAAAAAACGGAACAGUUCAUGGCUUUAUGCUUUUUUAUGGACUGUGGUUGCCUCAAUGAAUAGCCCAAGUGAUUAUUGGGCUUUUAAUUCGGCUCCUAUGAAAGGCCCAAAGCGUCCACGAUGAAGCAGGUCACAGGAGCAGUCUUAAAUCUCAAUUAUGAAUCUCUCUCAACUCCUCAAGCGGGGUUUCAUUUUGAAUGCCGCCAUUGGCCUCAUUUCACAAUAUAGAUAUGCAUGCAUGGAGGAUAUAUAUACACUGGGUGUAGUUGUGUAUAUAUAACUUAUAAAGUUAUAAUUAUAUUAUGAGUAUAUCUUUCAAUGUAUGUAUGUAUGUAUAUAUGAACAAAUAAAAUAAUAACUAUACGAAAAUUUACAAGUAGCACCUGAAAAAAUAUCAGAUCACUUCAGUUUUGAGGUCCAAAUAAUGCUGCACGUUGAUGACGGAAUACAAAGAACUCAAAGAUUUAAAAUGCAUUUGAUUAAUGGCAUUUUAAUUUAUGUGCUCUCUAUUUUCUAUCAACAAAAUUUCAAAAAAUUAGCGCCAUCUACUUCAAUCAGACCAAACACAUGGACCAAAUAUUAAUGAGGAAAAAAAAACCAAUCGAUACGCUUUUGUCUCCACAAUAAUAAAUAGCUGCUGAAUGGCCAUGGAAGCGUGCAUAUCCACAGCAGCAUGGAAUUAAAGUAGUUGAUAAACUGUUUACAGUAGCAAGGACUUUGUAUGCAUGAUGCCAAUUAAAUGGUUGCGGGCUUAAAAGCAUUAAUUUAUGAAGUGCUUGUCCCUUUUAGGCUGGAGAUAAGUCAAGACUACAUUGCUUUCCCUCCUUUUCUUGUUCGCCUUUUGCAAUAGAUACUUUUUUUUUAACUGAUUAAGCAUUAGGUUAUUAUAUUACACAGAGAUAUUUACAACUCUAUUAUGACAGCAGAUCAUUGCACUGAUAUUUACAAUCAUAUAUAUACCUAAAACUUAGAUUAUUACAUUUUUAUUUUAUAAAGUACAAGCCCAGCCAAAUACCCCUCACAGAGGAGGGAUGUCUUUACUCCACUCGCAUUUCGCAAGGGAGAAGGAUGUUACAAGCAAUAGAUACGUUAUUAUAUUGUUUUUUUAGCACAUUUUCAAUGAGACUACUAUUCCCAUAUCGGCUGCCAAGUUAACCAUUUGAUCAAUAUUUUAUUUUAUGGAUUUGAAUUCGACAUGACAGAUAUUAGAAACCAAUGGCAUACAACAUGACCAAAUUUUACAUCAAUACAUACAUUAUACUAAUGCAGCUGCGACAUUUGAAAUAAGCGAUUAUUCCAUUAAAUCCAUUUACGGCAGAACUACAUACCACAUGAAACGCAAUAGGACUCGUUCCAAUGUCACAAAAUUAAUAAGAAAACAUUUCAUAGAGAGGAAAUCUCUGCGGAAGUGAAUUGCCUUCAUAAAAUAUCAUAGUGACACUUGACUCUUGACAGCAAAUAGGGCUACUCAUAGAACCAAUCUUGAAUCGGAAAUGGAGAGUUCUAAAAACCACAUGAAAAAUUAACUUUCGAAGACACAUCAAAAUGUUGCACCAAGCAUAAGAUUCAAGAUAUCCUUAGCUCGAAUCUGUUGUAUGUAAGUUAAGUGGAAAUAUCAGGACACAUUGAUUUUCUUCCCCUCUGCGCCUAACUAGUAUUAUAUCGUUGUGAUGAAUAACAUAUAAAUUGAUCUAAAUUUUUGUCAUAAACUAUAACAUUUGUACUCUAAUCUACUUGAGAUUAAUGAACGUCAUAUAUGAUUAAAAAAAUUAUUAAUUUCAUCUCUUUUGUUAUUCUAAUAAUCUAUUAUAUGCUGUUAUAUCCCAUGAUCAAACUAUGUAUUCGACUGUUAAUUUUUCAAUAUUAUUUUAUUAUAUAUUUACUUGUUUCCAUAAUCACAGUCUAAUUAAGAAUUUAUAUAUAUAUAUAUUUGGACUUUGGUGGUCUCCAUACGAAGCCCAACUCAUAUUGGGCAUUUGAAGUUUAAAUCAUUAAAAAGUUCAAUUAGUCCCCAAUGCGCAAGGAUAGACUAAUAUCCGCAUGGCAUUUUUUGACAUAAUUGAUUUGUCAAAAGUGUGUGUGUGUAUAUAUUGACACACGCGCACGCACGCAUAUAUAUAUAUAUAUAUAUAUAUAUAUAUAUAUAUAUUGUUAUGCGUGGAAUUCUGCAUAUUUUAACACGUGAAUUUACUAAUAUACUGUAUAUUAAUUAAUUGAAAAAAAUUAAUAAAAACACUAAUGGCAUAUUAGUGCCGUCACACACGCCUACAACAUAAAAACUUAUCAUGCAUUAAAUAGAACGCAAUCGUGCACACCGGAUCAUAAUUUUAAUUAUAUAUAUCUUUCUUUAUUCAUAAAAAUAAUAAUAAUAAUAAUAAUAGUAACAAUAAUAAUUACAACAGCAACCACAAUUUUUAGAAACGCGUGAACUUGACAUGAGAAGUCCUCGUUCUUCUGCGUGUCGGUCGCUUUAAAAGUGUUGGUCGUCGGGGGCCGUUCCAAAUUUCCAAUGCCGCGUUUCUCCAAUCCUGUUAAAAUAAACAAAUAAAUAAAGUAAGCCAUUGCGUUUGGUGGUGAGAAAAAUUAAGAAAGCGAAAGAUAUUGACUGGAAUUGGACUGCAUGCAUGGAAACUGUUUCCAAUAAGUUCUGUCGCUAUUAAUAUUGAAGAACGUUUACUAAGAAAUUUGAGGUCAAGCUAGGAUGGGGAUGGAUGGAUCAUCCCAACGUUUACUAAGAAAUUUGAGGUCAAGCUAGGAUGGGGAUGGAUGGAUCAUCCCAUUCCCACCGAUGCUAACUCAUUUACAAUUACCAGGAAAUUAAGCGACUUCACUUUGCCGUAUUGACUUCCCCAUUGAAAUCUGAAAGCUUCCACCUAAACAAAUCGUGGAAAGAGACUUCAGAAGCUGCGUGGCAUCCGCAUACAAAAUUUGCAGUAAGAAACGAAAUUGAACCUGUUUAUCUAGAUUUGUCCCUUUAUCUUCCAUUGCAUUAAUGCUUGAAGCCUAGCACUCAGUAAUUAAAAAUUUUCUUCCAUCGUGUCGAUUUCAUUUUAUGAAUAAUUAAUAUUAUUUUUAAACAAAUUAUUUAGCGCUAAUUAAUUCAAUCACAUAGUUGUAUACUAAACUAUGAUAAGUUUAAAGCCCGCCUCUCACCGUGCAAGUGAAACCGUAGAAAACAUAGCGCAUUAACACUUUUAUACCGUUCUGCUUAGUUUAUUCAAAUUCGUUAAUUGUAUCCUGGAAUUGGAGGAGCAAUGAGUAGUGACGAAGCUUCAAUUUUCUCAACUUUUCUGUUUUGUCUGUUGAUGUUUGUAUUCAUCACCAGUGAAAUUGAAGCAAGAAAACUUGAAGUACAAAUGUGUUCUUCCUCUUGUGGAGAUGUCAAAAACAUAAGCUACCCUUUUCGCCUCAAGGGCGAUCCAGCUGGAUGCGGCCAUCCGGAGUUAGAACUUUCUUGCGAGAGCAACAAAACCAUCUUAGAAUUCAAUUCUAGAAAGUACUAUGUGAAGAGAAUUUCCUAUGAUAAAUGUACAAUCAGUGUUGUCGAUGUUAACUUAGCCUAUGGAAGCUGCAGCUUCCCAUCCACUUCUUUUUCCCGACAUUGUUUCUGUUUCAGAUAUUGUUUUGAUUACAAUCUUGAUUCAUACGCCAAUUACGUGAAUUGCUCGAGUAAUAUUGUUGAUCAGGCGUCUGCGAAAGUUCCAUGUUUGAGUAACAAUCAGUCGAAUGUCUAUGUUUAUUUUGGAUAUGAUUUAAUGGCCAACAGUAUAUCACAUCUUCCAGACUCAUGCGCCUUCAUUUCAAAGGUUCCUGUAGUACUUAAUAGGAGCGUGGACAAACUUUCUUAUGAAGACCUCCGAAAAUCUCUGGAGUCAGGGUUCGAUCUUACAUGGAUUGAUUGGAGCUGGAGCCUCUCAAUGCCUCUCUGUAAGCUUAUGCUUAUAUUUAUUUAUGCAUUCAAAUGCAAGGGCUUUGUUUUUGCUUUUCAAUAUUGUACGUAAUAAAGAAUUUGUGAACUAUCUCUAUGAGCAUACCGAUAUGACCUUUAAUUUCUGUUUCUUUCCACUUUUGUAACAGAUUGCAUCUGCAAUGUAGGUGUAGUGGCAAAGAUAAAUUGCCUCUUAUAUUAUAUACGUAAGCAUAUCCUUAUAUAUCUUUUUGAUCAUGUGUUUUCGACGUUAAUAAAUGCGAUGGCUUCAUAUAUUCUCUAAUCUUUACUCUAUAAUUUUUUCUGAAUCAUCUCUCUGAUUAGGAUAAAGCUUUUAUUUUUUUCCCCCCUCUCUCCAAUUACAGUUUACCGAGUAAUUUACCCAGCAAUCCUUUGGCCUUACAUAACGUACGCAUCAGGAAUGCGGAAUUGGAUAGCUUUUCUGUUAGGUAAAAUCUCCUCUCCAGGAUCCUCUUUUUAUUGCUUUGUUUACUACUAUUUACUUUCAAAUAACGUUCUCCUUACCAGGGUUUCCAUUCGAUGUUCUGAAUGUUCUGAUAAUUGGUAGAUUUAUUCUUGCUCCAAUAGUCUUUGUCGUGUUCCUUAUCCAAAAGUACAGAAAAUCAUUGAAGAGAAUUGAUAAUGUGGAGAAAUUUCUGCACAAUCAGCAAUCGUGGAUGCCUAAAAGGUACUCUUACCCGGAGAUAAUUGCCGUGACAAACCACUUCACUCAUAAAUUAGGCCAAGGUGGCUUUGGUUCGGUUUAUAAAGGACAACUUCAUACGGGUUGCUUGAUUGCUGUUAAGAUGCUGGAGAACUCCAAGUUCAGUGCGGAGGAAUUCAUCAAUGAAGUUUCAACAAUUGGUAGAAUUCACCACGUUAAUGUAGUCCAGCUAUUGGGGUUCUGUUCCGAGGGAUUCAAACGGGCACUUGUGUACGAGUAUAUGCCCAAUGGAUCACUCGAUAGGCAUAUCUUUCCCAAGGAGAGUAGAGGCCAAUCUUUUAGUUGGGAGAGACUCCAGGAAGUUGCUUUAGGAACUGCCCGUGGGAUCGAGUAUUUACACAACGGAUGUGAUGUCUGCAUUCUUCAUUUCGACAUUAAGCCUCACAACAUCCUGCUAGAUCAUAAUUUCAUCCCAAAGGUCUCAGACUUCGGCCUUGCAAAGUUUCAUCCCAAGGAAAAUGAUUUUGUGUCCAUCAGUGCCACAAGAGGAACCAUAGGAUACAUAGCACCUGAGCUGAUUUCAAGGAAUUUUGGAACUGUUUCUUGCAAGUCAGAUGUUUACGGUUUUGGGAUGGUGUUGUUGGAAAUGGCUGGAGGAAGAAGGAAUUCUAAUAUGAAUGCAACUCGUUCAAGCAAAGCAUAUUUCC